CCGCAUAUUUUCUACUUUACCUUUCCUUUUUGUUUUUCACCUUCCUUGCUGUGCGAUUUUCUCCCUCUUCAUCGUUCCCUCUUUUGCUGCCAAAUCUUUGCUCUUUCUUCGCAGAAUAGUCUUUAGAAGAGAUCCUGACUUUAAUUUUAUUUUGGAUUUGGUUUCGGGUCUUCUCCGGUGUGCAACCCUUUGUUUGAUUUUAUUGGGUGUUUUGUUUCCGGUCUUCUCCGGUGACGAACCCUUUGUUGGUCAGCGUUUUGUUCUCAUCUUGCCAUCGUCGGGAUCAAAAUUUUAAGGUAGUCAAGGUUUUGUCGAAGCUUAUAAAAUUGGUUUCGAGCGUUCGCGACCGUUGGUGCCAGAAUUUCAGAGUGUUGGUCUCUGUUUUCGUCGGCGAUCCCGGAGUUGGGACUGAGCACGGCGUGCCUUUAAAUUAUCGUCGGGCAAAUUGUAUUGAACUCUGUGAGUUGUAGCGGUUUGUUGAGAAUUUGUCGGCUAAGGCAUAUUUUGUGUUUGGCUUCCUCUACUGACAAGUCUGAGAAUUCGCAUUAGCUGGAACGCUACUGUUGGUUUGGCAUAACCAGCUUUUCUGUAUAGCAUGGCCUCCAAUCAUCAUUCAUUUGAAGAUUUUACAACAGCAAUUGCAUGGGACGCAGGGAAGCUGUUGGUGAUGGAGCAGGUGAAGGUUGCUCCACCUAAGGCUAGG